GCUAUACAUGCAAGUAGAACGCUGAAGAGAGGAGCUUGCUCUUCUUGGAUGAGUUGCGAACGGGUGAGUAACGCGUAGGUAACCUGCCUUGUAGCGGGGGAUAACUAUUGGAAACGAUAGCUAAUACCGCAUAACAAUGGAUGACACAUGUCAUUUAUUUGAAAGGGGCAAUUGCUCCACUACAAGAUGGACCUGCGUUGUAUUAGCUAGUAGGUGAGGUAAUGGCUCACCUAGGCGACGAUACAUAGCCGACCUGAGAGGGUGAUCGGCCACACUGGGACUGAGACACGGCCCAGACUCCUACGGGAGGCAGCAGUAGGGAAUCUUCGGCAAUGGGGGCAACCCUGACCGAGCAACGCCGCGUGAGUGAAGAAGGUUUUCGGAUCGUAAAGCUCUGUUGUAAGUCAAGAACGGGUGUGAGAGUGGAAAGUUCACACUGUGACGGUAGCUUACCAGAAAGGGACGGCUAACUACGUGCCAGCAGCCGCGGUAAUACGUAGGUCCCGAGCGUUGUCCGGAUUUAUUGGGCGUAAAGCGAGCGCAGGCGGUUUGAUAAGUCUGAAGUUAAAGGCUGUGGCUCAACCAUAGUUCGCUUUGGAAACUGUCAAACUUGAGUGCAGAAGGGGAGAGUGGAAUUCCAUGUGUAGCGGUGAAAUGCGUAGAUAUAUGGAGGAACACCGGUGGCGAAAGCGGCUCUCUGGUCUGUAACUGACGCUGAGGCUCGAAAGCGUGGGGAGCGAACAGGAUUAGAUACCCUGGUAGUCCACGCCGUAAACGAUGAGUGCUAUGUGUUGGAUCCUUUCCGGGAUUCAGUGCCGCAGCUAACGCAUCUAAGCACUCCGCCUGGGGAGUACGACCGCACGUUGAAACUCAAGGGAGUUGACGGGGGCCCGCAUCAAGCGUGGAGCAUGUGGUGUGACUUCGUAUCAACGCGAAGAA
rnacentral:rRNA from 1 species